rnacentral:rRNA from 1 species
GCCAGACUCCUACGGGAGGCAGCAGUGGGGAAUAUUGCACAAUGGGGGAAACCCUGAUGCAGCGACGCCGCGUGAGUGAAGAAGUAUUUCGGUAUGUAAAGCUCUAUCAGCAGGAAAGAAAAUGACGGUACCUGACUAAGAAGCCCCGGCUAACUACGUGCCAGCAGCCGCGGUAAUACGUAGGGGGCAAGCGUUAUCCGGAUUUACUGGGUGUAAAGGGUGAGUAGGCGGCAUGGUAAGCCAGAUGUGAAAGCCUUGGGCUUAACCCGAGGAUUGCAUUUGGAACUAUCAAGCUAGAGUACAGGAGAGGAAAGCGGAAUUCCUAGUGUAGCGGUGAAAUGCGUAGAUAUUAGGAGGAACACCAGUGGCGAAGGCGGCCUGCUGGACGAUGACUGACGUUGAGGCUCGAAAGCGUGGGGAGCAAACAGGAUUAGAUACCCCCGUAA